rnacentral:rRNA from 1 species
AACGAACGCUGGCGGCAUGCCUAACACAUGCAAGUCGAACGAGACCUUCGGGUCUAGUGGCGCACGGGUGCGUAACGCGGGGGAACCUGCCCUUAGGUUCGGAAUAACUCCCCGAAAGGGGUGCUAAUACCGGAUAAUGUCUUCGGACCAAAGAUUUAUCGCCUUUGGAUGGGCCCGCGUUGGAUUAGCUAGUUGGUAGGGUAAAAGCCUACCAAGGCGACGAUCCAUAGCUGGUCUGAGAGGAUGAUCAGCCACACUGGGACUGAGACACGGCCCAGACUCCUACGGGAGGCAGCAGUGGGGAAUAUUGGACAAUGGGCGAAAGCCUGAUCCAGCCAUGCCGCGUGAGUGAUGAAGGCCUUAGGGUUGUAAAGCUCUUUUACCCGGGAUGAUAAUGACAGUACCGGGAGAAUAAGCUCCGGCUAACUCCGUG